CCCAGGUAGCUCAAUUGGUAGAGCAGCGGACUUAAAAUCCGCGUGUCGGUGAUUCGAUUCCGCCCCUGGGCA
rnacentral:tRNA from 1 species